GUGGUAUAUCCAUACAAUGGAAUAUUCUUCAGCAAUAAGAAGGAAUGGACUGCUUGCUACAUGUCGUAUGGGUAAACCUCAAAAACAUUAUGCUUAGUGAAAGAAGCCAGAUCCAAAAGAUGUCUGCUGUAUGAUUCCAUUUAUAUAUGAAAUGUCCAGCAAAGGUAAAUCUAUAGAGACAAAGUAGAUGAGUGGUCACCUGGGCUGGGGUAGGAGUAGGGAGCUUUGGGGGAUGAUAGAGAGGGACUGUGGUGAGGAAUUGUACAACUGCAUAAACUUAAUAAAAAUCAUUGAAUUUAUAUUUAAAACAGGUGAAUUCUAUGGGAAUGUAAAUUAUCUUAAUACAGUUCUUAAAAAAGUAAACCCUUCUUUCAGCUUCUACUUGUACCUUGGUUAUGCUGACCCAAGAUGUUCCAUUAUACUGACUUUUUUAACUAAAAAAAAAAAAAACCUUACACCUGUUUUCCAUACCUCGCAGUUGAUACAUCCCUCCUGGUCACAAAUCUGCCUUAUUCUAUUUAACAGUCAUAUCUUCAUUUGGAUGCCAAGUAGAGCCAGAAUCGCAUAAUUUAUUGCUCAUCUGUUCAUUCCUACCACUUUUUCACACAGGCACUUCAUUUUUAUGAAAUAUUUUGAUUAUUUUCCCCUCUGGUGAUUGAAGAAGAUCAACAGUUGCUAUGAUUGUGACUUCUUGCCGAGCUGCUGUGAGGAGUUCCAGCCACUCUGGGUUUGCCCUGGACACCUGCUGCGGUGUCGAGCUCACCUCCGACAAACAGCUCAAUCCCACCCGCAGCCUUGAUCUUCUCUUCAAAGGCAUCACACUCAGCCUGCAGCUCGACCCAGGCCCCCCUUCACCACCCCUCGACAACCCCCACCUGGCUAGAUACUCUACUGUUGAACUCUUCCUCAAUAAAUAGAGAGGUCAUGGGAUCAUCUUGGAUCACUAGAGCAGGUGGAGGCCUGGAGAGGUGUGUUCUUUCAGUACCAGAGAGGGGCGCUCCUACCGGCCUGCCUUGCUUUGCAGAUCCUGUUUCCCCCAAAGAACACACGGCAAAGAAAUGAGAACACACCACACGUGUGCUCCACAGUCAGCUGGGCGACCACAUCCUGCAGUUCCCGUGACUCGGCUCGCCUCUUCCUUGGGCCUCGCUGUGGUUCCGGAGCAGCUUGAGAGAGUGGGCUUCUAAUGGUGAGGCCCUGAUGAGCCCGGGCGGUGGAGCUAACACAGUUUGAGGGACUUGUUCUUUGGCCUCAGUGUUGGUGUCUUUUGUUUUUUUAAAUUCAGUUAGAAAUCUCAUCUCAGCCUGAGGAUUGCAGAUAUUUCACAGUGAGGUUCCCACCCCAAUCUUCAAACACUUCAGAUGAUACCUCCAGGUUUGCACCAGUUGCCCUCAGAUGGUACAGGAAGUGACUUCAUGGGACCUUAAUUGGGCCUGUUUCCCCAGAGUUACCCUUUCUGUAGGGAACCAGUGCAGGUGUCUGUUAAGUCUGGAGGCUCUUGAUUCUGCAUGAGGACUAAUCAGGAAGGCCUGGGUUUAAAUUCUGGUCUUGCCAAUGUCGACUUCUUGAGUGAGUGACUCAAGCCAAUGACUCAGCUUCUCCAACUCUUAAUUUUCUUAUCUGGAACUUGGGAAUUGAGUGGAAAUUACGUAAUAGUGACCUCAUGUAGCUGUUGUAAGCAUUAAAUGAAAACCAGUGGGCCCUGCAUAUCUGUGGUUCCAAAUGCACAGAUUCAGCCAACCUCAGAUGGAAAAUAUUCAAAAAAUAAUUCCUGAAAGCUCUCAAAAGGCAAAACUUGAAUUUGCUCUAUGCCUGGCAACUGUUUACAUCGCAUUUAUGUUGUAUUAGGUGUUAUAAGUAGUCUAGAGGUGAUUUAAAGUAUAUGGGAAGAUGUAUGUAGGUUAUAUGCAAAUACUGUGUCAUUUUAUGUAAGAGAUUUGAGCAUGCAUGGAUUUUAGUAUUUGUGGGGGUCCUGGAACCAAUUUCCUGGGGAAACUGAUGGCUGACUGUGUUAGCAUAGCAUAGCAUGGCUAGCCAUGUUACCGAUACCCCUUAUUUCCUCCUACCCUCCUUACAGCUCUCUCUGUCUAACCCUGAAAUACUCUCUACCCUAACCUUCUCCCCUCACCUUCUCCCCUCCUCAGGCUCCUCCCACUCCAUGCCUGGGUUUAAACUGUUACCCAUACUCAUCCUUCCAUCCUCUUGUUUUGGAACUAAAGUUGGCUAACUAAAAGAAUUGUGAGUCCCUCCCCAGCCCAGAUUUUUUGCUUGUGAGUUUGUCUAUGCAGUCUCUGUUCCUUUUCCUUGCUUCCUGUGGUGAAGGCAGAUGUGAUGCCUGGAGCUGGGGAAGCCAUAUUAUAACUAUGAGGCAAUAAACAUGAAGGAAGAGUGGAGGAUAGAAGGAACUUAAGUCCUUGAUGUUUGACAAGUGCUAGGCCUCUGCUUCUGCACUUCCUUUAAGGAAAUAACAAAUAUCUGUGUGGUAUUUAUUUAAGCCACUGCUGGUAGAUUUUUCUGUGUCUUGAGAUUAAAAACAUGACUCACUGUUACAGCAGAUGAUUCAGGUCUUCCUUGGGGUUUAUGUUGGUAUUAUGGGGAGAUACCUUUCUUCUACAGGAAUUUUGAGCUGUGAAAUCCAGGAAAGCUUAGAGCUGCCAGUGAGGAAAGUAGAAACAAUAGAAGGGAUACAAAGCUGUGUAACAUCAUUUGAGCUGCCUAGAUCUAGCCAUGUCCAAAGCCAAAUAUACUCUGUUGGGUUUAAGUUGGGUGAAUGAAUGAGGGAGUACAAAAAUAAUAUCUUUUUUUCCCUGAGGCUAGUUAGGGGAAACUCUGGAAGAAUAUUGAGUUAUCUAUUGCUGCAUAACAGAUUACCCCAAAACUUAAUGGCUGAAAGCAAUAAUUACAAUAAGGGGGGCUAAAAAGAAAUGUGCUGUCAAGCCAUGAAAAGACCUGGAGGAAACAUCAAUGUGUGUUACUGAAAAGGCUACAUAUUGUAAUAUUCCAACCGUAUGAUGUUCUGAAAAAGGCAAAACUAUGGAGACAAUAAAAAGCUGGUUGCCAGGAGUUAGCAGGGAGGGUGAGAUGAAUAGGUAGAGCACAGAGGUUAUAGGGUAGUGAAACUAUCCUGUAUGACACUGUAGUGGUGGAUACAUGUGGUUAUACUUUUGUCUGAACCCUGGAAUGUACAAGAGUGAACUCUGAUGUAAACUAUGGACUUUGGGUGAUUAUUAUGUAUAGGUUUGUCACUUGUAACAAGUUUGCCACUCUUAUCAGUAUAUUGAGUGAAAUCUCAUGAGAGACCCUGACCCAGAAUCACUCAGCUAAGUCAGUCCUGAAUUCCUGACCCACAGAAGCUGUGAGAUAAUAAACGUUUGUUGUUUUAAGCUGCUAAAUUAUAAAGUCAUUCGUUAUGCUGCAAUAGAUAACUCAGCACACUCAGGAAAAUUCCAUAGGUGGGGUAGGUGUUAAGCAGGGGAUUCAACCCCUGUUUCUCUCCCCUGUGCAUGGAGGUGCGUCAUCUGACCCACCAGAGACUCCAUUCCUCAGACCACACAUUCCCACGUUGAGCUGCCCUCCGCCAUGUUUGUGGAAUCCCCUGCUAAGGCUUCUACUGAGCCUUUCUUCCUGUUACUUGCUGUUUUCUAAUUACCUGAGGCCAUGUCUUACCUUCAUUCCCUGUAGCUGUUUCUCACUGAUCUUUGCAUUUUCCAUACCACGUAGCUCACUACUUUGCACAUAAAAGCCAAAGCCCCACGUGUUUCAGAGCAUUGGCUCUGGAGCCCAUUGGGUUCAGAUGCUAGAUCAACCACUUAUUAGCUGGGGCACUUUCUUAAUCUCUGUGCCUCAGGUUCCUCAACUGUAAAAUAGGGAGAGUAAUGGUAGCUACUUCAUAGGAUUGUUUUGAGCAUUAAAAUACAUUGUCACGUGGAAAGCAUUUGGAACUAUGCCUGACACGUGGCAACUGCUCCAUAAAUAUCACUUACUAGAUUGAAUCAUACAAAAAUUGUCAUUUUUCUGGGUCAAAAAACUAAAUAUGGGCAAUUUCACAUAGUUUAAUCUCAUAUUAUUAUUUUUAUCCUUUCACCAGAGUUAUAUUCAAAGAAACAGUCCGGCAACCCAAAACAAUUACAAUUGUUGGUAACGUCUCUAGAAGAAUGUUAAAGACAAUCCAAAUCAGAACUCAGAGCACCUCUUAAAAUUCUCCUUGCCUCAUUCUUUUUACUGUUGUUACCAGGAAACCUUUUCCACUGCUCAUUCUAAACUCCUAACUAAAAAAAUCUCUGCCCCAACACUCCAUCCCACAUAACCAGCCAAAGUAGGUGACUGCCUUGCCCAUCCUUCAACUUACCUCCAUUCUCCUCCUCACAGUAAAUUUCUUUUUUGAUGCAGACACCUGGGUUUAGCUUCCCAGGUGUCUCUCUUUUCCUCUCUCUCAUUGCAAAAACCUAGACAUGAUACUGCCCAAAACUGGCUUCCCAGAGAGCAGAAGAGAGGGGAGAGGCUGAGAAGGCAAAGGUGAAAUUCCUUCUUUUAAAAAAAUUUUAAUUAUGGUAAAAACAUACAAAGUUUACCAUCUUAACCAUUUUUAAGCAUCCAGCUCAAUAGUGUUAAGUACAUUCAUGUUGUACAACCAAUCUCCACGACUCUUUCCUCUUGGCAAACUGAAACUCUAUACCCAUUAGACAACAACUUUCCCAUUUCCUCCUGCCCCGAGUCCCUGCAGCCACUGUUCUACUUUGUUUCUAUGAAUUUGAUUACUCUAGUUUGCUCAUAUAUGUGGAAUCAUGUGGUAUUUGACUUUUGCAACUGACUGACUUCAGUUAGCACAGUGUCCUCACAUACAUACAUACACACACACAUACAUACAUACAUACUAUAUUAUUUUAUCCAUUCAUCUCUCCAUGGAUACUAAGGUUGCUUCUAUCUCUUGGCUAUUGCAGAAUUUCUUUUAAAUGGGGAAAUAUGAACAAAUUUAGUAAUUUCAGGCUCCUUCACAAGGGGAAGACAGUGUAAUAAACUGCAUGAUUGUGUUGUUCAAAUAUUAAAUGGGGAAGCAGGUCAGGGCCCCAAGAGAGCCACAUCGGUCAGAGUUGGACAGACUUGGGUGGCAUAUCCAGGAAUGGAUGCCAGAGCUACACUGUUUGGCUUUGAAUUCCAGCUCUACCACUUACCAAUUGGUUAACUUCUGGGAAGUCAGUUUCUUUCUGACUAAUUGGUUCAUCCAUGAAAUAGGAAGAAUAACACCUACCUUAUUGUAUGGACUAUUAUUGCCAAGAGUAGUUACCUCAGGGGAGGAAUAAAUGAUUUAAUACAUGUAAUGCACUUAGAACAGUGCCUGGCACUGAGUUAGCUGUCACUAAGGGAUCAUUAUUAUUAUUAGGGUUUUGAGAUGGGCCUUGAAAGAGAAUCAGGGUUUGGUCGCUGAAGAGGAGGAGGGUGGCAUUACAGACAGGGAUGAUCAGAGGCAGGAAGGCACUGAGGCUGGGGGAGUAGUGUUUCCAGAGUUAAGAAACAAAGACACAGGAUAUCCAGUUAAAUUUGAAUUAUGGCUACUUGCCUGUGCAUAUGUACUUUGAGAGAAAAGAAAAAUAUCGCAUGAGACAUACUUAUUCUAAAAGCAUAUUUUGGGGAAUUACCUGGUGGCGCAGUGGUUAAGAAUCUGCCUGCCAGUGUAGGGGACAUGGGUUUGAUCCCUGGUCCAAGAAGAUCCCACAUGCCACGGACUAAGCCCAUGCGCCACAACUACUGAGCCUGUGCUCUAGAGCCCACGAGCCACUAAUGAGCCCGUGCGCCACAACUACUGAAGCUCUUAAUCUUUGUUUUGCAGGAUUUGCUUAUAAAAUUCCUCAAAGUUACAGUCUGUGUUUCUUUUACAUCUGUGUUUCUUUUACAUUUUGAUAUGAUUUCUUUAGUGGUCACAUCUAACUUAUUGUGUUGUUGGCCGUUGAACAUUCACUAAUGAGAAAUUGUGCUCAGCGUUAGCAUUAUGAGCCAGUAUAUAGAACAUGUACUGUCAUAAAGUUAACAACUCUGAGAAUUAGUCUUCAGAUUUCAUUGGUUGAAGCCCAUAAUACAGUCUUUCACAGCAUAACUUGCUUUUCCACUCUUCAGGAUUACAUUGUACCUUUUGAUCAACAACUUUUUAAAAUGUGCACAAACAAAAAGGAGCAUUGUCAUCAGUGUUUAUUCUUUUUUUCUUCAACAGUGCACCUGAUGAUUCCACCUGUUUCCAUGCUAAAAGCGUAUUUAGUAACAUCCAUGGAAAAGAAUUGAAGUUGUCAAUUUAUGAAAUCCAUUUCAAAAGAUAAUCAUAGCAAGUGCUACAAUAAUUAUCCACUUUGGGCUGAAAUUUAUUUUCCUGCUCACAUAAUGUUGUCCCUUUUAAGAACAGCUUUGGUAAUAAAAGGGAUACAUUUUCCAUCAAUACUUCUUUAACACAUUCAACAAGUUCCUUUAAGCAAUGGAGUACUGCAGUAACACUGUUGGCUCUUCUUUCAGUUUGCAUAAUCCUAUCACUAAAUUGAUACUGAAAACUAGGAACAAACUUCAUUCGGCGCAUUAUUUAAAAAGCCAACAAGAAUUUUGGGGUCCUUUUCUUCAGAAUUGAAGCAUAACGUCAGUGCUUCAAAUAAAUGGAGGAUUCUCUCAACUGCAGUUGUUAGAGAGCCAGUGGUUUUUGAAUGUGAGAGAAGUAAAGAAUACUGAAUGCCAAAAAAAUCACAAAAAGAUUUAAAUCGCUUAGUUAGAAUAGUGUAAAUGCUGAAGUAGGAGAACAUUGCAUGACAGUUAUUUCAAUCUCAAAAGAGAAGACAUCAGGUACUCUUUUUUAUUUCUUUUUUAAAAUAAAUUAUUUAUUUAUUUAUUUGACUGCACCGGGUCUUAGUUGCAGCACGCGGAAUCUUCAUUGCGGAAUGCAGGAUCUUUGUUGUGGCAUGCAGGAUCUAGUUCCCUGACCAGGGAUCAAACCCAGGCUCCCUGCAUUAGGAGCACAGAGUCUUAACCACCGGGCCACCAGGGAAGUCCCAACAUCAGGUACUCUUGAGCACAUUAUGCAGAGCACAGGCAGGACCACCAACACCUUCCAUAGAAUUAUUCAUGCUUUGCUUCAGCUUUGAAUAAACGUUGUUUGUACCUUUA